rnacentral:rRNA from 1 species
AGGGAAUCUUCCGCAAUGGACGAAAGUCUGACGGAGCAACGCCGCGUGAGUGAUGAAGGUUUUCGGAUCGUAAAGCUCUGUUGCCAGGGAAGAACGUCUUCUGGAGUAACUGCCAGGAGAGUGACGGUACCUGAGAAGAAAGCCCCGGCUAACUACGUGCCAGCAGCCGCGGUAAUACGUAGGGGGCCAGCGUUGUCCGGAAUUAUUGGGCGUAAAGCGCGCGCAGGCGGCUGUUUAAGUCUGGUGUUGAAUCCUGGGGCUCAACCCCGGGUCGCACUGGAAACUGGACGGCUUGAGUGCAGAAGAGGAGAGUGGAAUUCCACGUGUAGCGGUGAAAUGCGUAGAGAUGUGGAGGAACACCAGUGGCGAAGGCGGCUCUCUGGUCUGUAACUGACGCUGAGGCGCGAAAGCGUGGGGAGCAAAC